GGAGGGCAAGUCUGGUGCCAGCAGCCGCGGUAACUCCAGCUUCAGAAGCGUAUAUUAAAGUUGUUGCAGUUAAAAAGCUCGUAGUUGGAUCUGGGUCGCAUGGCUACAUGCCGUUGCUACGACUUGUAUUUGGCGCAAGCUGAGUGCGGGUUAUGCGUCGGUGUCGUGGUUGUGCAGCCUUUCUGUCGUGUCUGUGUAUACGGGUGCAUUUGAGGACCUAUACGGACUCAUUUGCAUGCUUUUGGAUGCCUUUAAUUGGGUGUCCUGAGCGGACGACACGUUUACUUUGAACAAAUUUGAGUGCUCAAAGCAGGCCAUAGUGCCUGAAAAAUCUUGCAUGGAAUAAUAAAAUAGGACUUCGGUUCUAUUUUGUUGGUUUUCGGAUCCGAAGUAAUGGUUAAGAGGGACAGACGGGGGCAUUUGUAUGG
rnacentral:rRNA from 1 species